rnacentral:rRNA from 1 species
CAGUAGCCACGGGAACACGGAGGGUGCAAGCGUUAUCCGGAUUUAUUGGGUUUAAAGGGUCCGUAGGCGGAUCUGUAAGUCAGUGGUGAAAUCUCACAGCUUAACUGUGAAACUGCCAUUGAUACUGCAGGUCUUGAGUAAAUUUGAAGUGGCUGGAAUAAGUAGUGUAGCGGUGAAAUGCAUAGAUAUUACUUAGAACACCAAUUGCGAAGGCAGGUCACUAAGAUUUAACUGACGCUGAUGGACGAAAGCGUGGGGAGCGAACAGGAUUAGAGACCCCCGUAGUCCCUGUCUCUUAUAC